UAGGGAAUCUUCGGCAAUGGACGAAAGUCUGACCGAGCAACGCCGCGUGAGUGAAGAAGGUUUUCGGAUCGUAAAACUCUGUUGUUAGAGAAGAACAAGGACGUUAGUAACUGAACGUCCCCUGACGGUAUCUAACCAGAAAGCCACGGCUAACUACGUGCCAGCAGCCGCGGUAAUACGUAGGUGGCAAGCGUUGUCCGGAUUUAUUGGGCGUAAAGCGAGCGCAGGCGGUUUCUUAAGUCUGAUGUGAAAGCCCCCGGCUCAACCGGGGAGGGUCAUGGGAAACUGGGAGACGUGAGUGCAGAAGAGGGGAGUGGAAUUCCAUGUGUAGCUGUGAAAUGCGUAGAUAUAUGGAGGAACACCAGUGGCGAAGGCGGCUCUCUGGUCUGUAACUGACGCUGAGGCUCGAAAGCGUGGGGAGCAAACAGG
rnacentral:rRNA from 1 species